rnacentral:rRNA from 1 species
GAUGAACGCUGGCGGCGUGCCUAAUACAUGCAAGUCGAGCGAACGGACGGGAAGCUUGCUUCUCUGAUGUUAGCGGCGGACGGGUGAGUAACACGUGGAUAACCUACCUAUAAGACUGGGAUAACUUCGGGAAACCGGAGCUAAUACCGGAUGAUAUUUUGAACCGCAUGGUUCAAAAGUGAAAGACGGUCUUGCUGUCACUUAUAGAUGGAUCCGCGCUGCAUUAGCUAGUUGGUAAGGUAACGGCUUACCAAGGCAACGAUGCAUAGCCGACCUGAGAGGGUGAUCGGCCACACUGGAACUGAGACACGGUCCAGACUCCUACGGGAGGCAGCAGUAGGGAAUCUUCCGCAAUGGGCGAAAGCCUGAUGGAGCAACGCCGCGUGAGUGAUGAAGGUCUUCGGAUCGUAAAACUCUGUUAUUAGGGAAGAACAUAUGUGUAAGUAACUGUGCACAUCUUGACGGUACCUAAUCAGAAAGCCACGGCUAACUACGUG